ensembl:snoRNA
AUCCUUCUGUAGUUCAUAAGCAUGAUGACAUGCACCUCCCCCAAAACUUGUUACUUGGCAUAUUACCUAUCUGACA